UACGAAGGGGGCUAGCGUUGCUCGGAUUGACUGGGCGUAAAGGGCGCGUAGGCGGUUCGUACAGUCAGACGUGAAAUUCCUGGGCUCAACCUGGGGGCUGCGUUUGAUACGUGCGGACUUGAGUGCGGAAGAGGGUCGUGGAAUUCCCAGUGUAGAGGUGAAAUUCGUAGAUAUUCGCAAGAACACCAGUGGCGAAGGCGGCUCACUGGUCCGGUACUGACGCUGAGGUGCGAAAGCGUGGGGAGCGAACAGG
rnacentral:rRNA from 1 species